UAGGGAAUCUUCCGCAAUGGCCGCAAGUCUGACGGAGCAACGCCGCGUGAGUGAAGAAGGAUUUCGGUUCGUAAAACUCUGUUGUUAGAGAAGAACAGCGCAUAGAGUAACUGUUAUGCGUGUGACGGUAUCUAACCAGAAAGCCACGGCUAACUACGUGCCAGCAGCCGCGGUAAUACGUAGGUGGCAAGCGUUGUCCGGAUUUAUUGGGCGUAAAGCGAGCGCAGGCGGUCAAUUAAGUCAGAUGUGAAAGCCCCCGGCUCAACCGGGGAGGGUCAUUGGAAACUGGUUGACUUGAGUGCAGAAGAGGAGAGUGGAAAUCCAUGUGUAGCGGUGAAAUGCGUAGAUAUAUGGAGGAACACCAGUGGCGAAGGCGACUCUCUGGUCUGUAACUGACGCUGAGGCUCGAAAGCGUGGGUAGCAAACAGG
rnacentral:rRNA from 1 species